rnacentral:tmRNA from 1 species
GCGACUUGGCUUCGACGUGGGUUGCAAAACCGGCGGUGCAUGCCGAGGGUGCAGAUUUCCUCGUAAAUCCAUUCUGCUAGCAAGUAAUUGCAAACGACGAAAACUACGCUCUAGCUGCUUAACCCAGCUAGACCUCUGACUGUGUCGUGCUUGUGCGCGCAGAGAGCUUGCUCAUUUCAGAGGUCAUUAACACAAGAUCGCAAUGACGGUUGUUCAGGCCCGAUUUGUUAAAACCUAAAUUCUGAGCUCACUGUCGAUCUUCCCUGUCCUUCGGGUAGUCGCCAGCUAAAUAAAUAGAGGGAAUAAGCAUGUAGAGCCAAUGGCAGAGGACUUGCGGACGCGGGUUCGAUUCCCGCCGCCUCCACCA